rnacentral:misc_RNA from 1 species
UUAAGUUCAGCGGGUAUCCCUACCUGAUCCGAGGUCAAAGUAAAAAAAGGCUUAUGGAAGGGGGUUUGCUGAAAUCGCUUGCAAUGUGCUGCGCACGAAGCCAACAUACCGGCUGCCAAUGAAUUUAAGGCGAGUCCACGCACUGAGGCGGAACAAACACCCAACACAAGCAAAGCUUGAAGGUUUAAAUGACGCUCGAA